AGCUCCAAUAGCGUAUAUUAAAGUUGUUGCGGUUAAAAAGCUCGUAGUUGGAUUUCUGUCGAGGGCGGCCGGUCCUUACUAUGUAAGUGCAUCUGGUUCGGUCUUGGCAUCCUCUUGGGGAUCGUUUCUGUGCUUGAUUGCAUGGGGCGGAAUUCAAGACUUUUACUUUGAGGAAAUUAGAGUGUUCACGGCAAGCUAUCGCUUUGAAUACAUUAGCAUGGAAUAAUAAUAUAGGGCGUAAGUUCUAUUUUGUUGGUUUCUAGGACAUACGCAAUGAUUAAUAGGGAUAAUUGGGGGCACUCGUAUUAACACGUCAGAGGUGGAAUUCUUAGAUUGUGUUACGACGAACUACUGCGAAAGCAUUUGCCAAGGAUGUUUUCA
rnacentral:rRNA from 1 species